rnacentral:lncRNA from 1 species
UGCACCUCUGAGCUCUAUCCCUGGCCAGAGAUAAUUAAGAAUGAGUAGGCGUGGGGAAGCAGGAAAGCUUCAGGGCCUUGAGCCGUGAGCCCAUCUCUCACAAUGCAGAGGAGCUUCUCUGGAUUCCUGGAACGGUGCACCUUUUAGACAAAGCACACUUUCAGGUAAGCUCACCAGGGAAAAUCCUUCCCAGAA